CCCACCCAACUCAUGCCCUGACCAUACUAAAUAAAUACAAAACAAAGGAAAUAAAGGUCAGAACGUGACACAUGCCACCCCGAUCUCCUUCUGCGAAAUCUACAUAUUUUUUUCCUACAAAUGACGGGGAUGAGGGCCUGUUCAGGUGUCUGGAGUAAAUCCCUCUCGUCUAACUCAUUAACCAAAAAUUCUUUGUCCAAUUCAAGGUGGGUAAUCGCUGUUCUGAUGUCCAGAAGUUAUUUUCGGUCAUAAGAGACGGUAGCAGCAACAUUAUGUACAAAAUAAGUUUCAAUCAAAGCGAAAAAACAAAACAAAAUAGCAUGGUUGGUUAAAAGCCAAUAAAACGGUAGCCAUCCUCUCUGGCGCCAGUACAACUUUAUUAGUCCAUGUUACUGGGAACAAAGGGAAUUUGUUUUUCUGAAGGGGUUGGUCACAGAUCUGCCAGUUCAGAUCAAAUCACACGUUUUGUUGCCUGACUCAGGACUCAAACCAGUGACCUUUCAAUUACUGGACUAAUUCUCUAUCUUCCGCCUUCUAACACUUCUAGCAUGGGCUUCCUAGGCAAAGUUCCCUUUACACUAUCUCAUGUGCGUAGCAAACAUGAGUCUGUCUCAUGACCUGUUAAUGAGGUAGUCCUGCGUGCAACUUUAAAAUCAGUGUCACCCUCAGCUCAAGAGGGCAUUACCUCUUGGUCUAAUGGUCAAGACACUGGUUUUUCCCAUGGGAGGCCCAGGUACAGAUCCUGCCCAUGAAAUGUACACACCUCUCCCAAUUCCACUGCUUCCACCAAUGUAGUGUUUUUUUGCAAACAGCAAUGGUGUAAUGCCCCUUUUUGUCUCAAACCCGGGUCUCCCUGCCCGUAGGCAAACAAAUAUAUUUUAGUGAGUUCAGGCAGUCGCCCCAAACAGGUUUUGGACCUGGGUCCAUCAACAGUCAAGCCAACACCUUGAGUGCUACGCCAAGAUGUCCAAACCUCUCGAUGUUGUCGCUCGGUGUUGGAUUAAAGUUGCUACAGAACGUGAGUCAGCUGAGACCUCCUUCCUUUGGGAGAGCAUGCCCCCACACUUCUUUAUAGCAAGUCUCUCACGUGUACACACAUCUUUGAUGGCUUCACAGGCACUAUCCCACUUCUGAUACCAAUGUAAACAAAUUUGGGGGUAGCUCCAACUGGGACUCGAACCCCGGUCCAGCGACUAGCAAGCCAACCUUAUCCAUUACACCAAGAGAUCAGCAGGUGGUAAGUGUUGGGUUAAGCUUGCUACAAUAUAUACAUAUAUAGGGUAAUGUGUGAUCUGUGGGUGAGGCAGCAUUGCCACUCCUGCUCCCAACACAGCCAAACACAAUCUUUACCUUCUUAACCUUAACUAACCUAAAGUCAAAUACAUUUAGACAAACCACCAUGUGAGCAGCAAGUUUAGGGUUAAUGGAGUGAGGUGGGUGAUGGGUAGGACCACCAGUAUGAACUAUAUGUCUAUACAUGGAUGGAUGCUCUUCAUCAACACCAUCUUUUCUGUGAAACUAGAUACCAGCAAUCAAUCAACAAGACUAAUGAAAUGGGGCAAAUGAAGACAUUAGAACUGCUAAAGUUUCCCCUAGAUACAGAUCUAGGAUCAGCUUCCCCUCCCCAAACCUAACAAGGACCAUUCGCGGGGGGAAUUCAAACCUGAUCCAAAGCCAGGGUCUAUUUGGGGAACUUGUCCCCUCCCCCACAACACUACACGUGGAUGCGGCUUCCUCAGUUCACCAUGCUCAUAAAGAAAACAGCAGUGUAUUUCAGUUGCAAGCCUGGGAAAGAACUGAGAACUAAAGAGUCAAGACAGACACCAGAAAGAGGCCCAAGAAGACUUGGACAGAGGACAGCGAGGGAUGUUCAGAACUCACUCAGUCCGGUUUGGAGAAUGACUUCUCAACCCAAGACUAAGAGCAGCUGUGAGAAACAUCAGUUUGGAAGCAUUUGGGAAAAUGUAAAGUGCUAAAGAAGGUUCCCGGCAAAGAGGAUUGACUGUUAUGGGUCAGAGCCAGCUCUCACAAACAGAACAUGGAAAGACAUGAAAACCUGGUGCACAACAAAAUGCAAACAGAAAAGGCUCUCCGCAGCCGGUAAAAGGCUAGCAUACCACAAAGAUUAAGUUCACAUAGGUGAUUGGGAGAGUUGUAAAAGACAAAAAGCUUUUUAGACAUAGCUCCAAAAUGCAGGUGCUCGUUGAGCUCGUGAGCUAGUUCUGUUUUGUGGUGGAAAACUUAGUGUGUCGAGCAUAAUACGUCAACCCUGUUACCAAUAGAUAAAGGGGCUAGACAUUUUUUUGCAAUUUCAUUUUUUUCUGAAACGUCCAAUUCAAAAGCUUCCAUUCCCCUUGUCACAAGGAAUUUAUGCAUGAUUUAAUAUGAAACCCUGCCUCCCGAGUGGUGCAGUGGUCUUAGGCACUAGCUUAGUUGCUAGCUGUGCCGCUAUAGGUCUUUGUUCGAGUCCAGGCUCUGUCGCAGCCGGCUGCGACCCGGAGACCCAUCGGUUGGCGCACAAUUGUCCCAGCAUCGUCCUGGU